CACAAGCGGCGGAGCGAUGCGGAUUAAUUCGAUGCAACGCGAAGAACCUUACCUGGCCUUGACAUCCCGGGAAUUCCUGGAAACAGGAGAGUGCUUUCAUUAGAGAGAACCUGGAGACAGGUGCUGCAUGGCUGUCGUCAGCUCGUGUCGUGAGAUGUUGGGUUAAGUCCCGCAACGAGCGCAACCCUUGCCUUUAGUUGCCAGCAGUUCGGCUGGGCACUCUAAAGGGACUGCCGGUGUCAAACCGGGAGGAAGGUGGGGAUGACGUCAAGUCCUCAUGGCCUUUAUGGCCAGGGCUACACACGUACUACAAUGGCCGGUACAAAGGGCAGCGACAUUGCGAGAUGGAGCGAAUCCCGAAAAGCCGGUCUCAGUCCAGAUUGGAGUCUGCAACUCGACUCCAUGAAGUUGGAAUCGCUAGUAAUCGUGGAUCAGCAUGCCACGGUGAAUACGUUCCCGGGCCUU
rnacentral:rRNA from 1 species